UACGUAGGUCCCGAGCGUUGUCCGGAUUUAUUGGGCGUAAAGCGAGCGCAGGUGGUUUAUUAAGUCUGGUGUAACAGGCAGUGGCUCAACCAUUGUAUGCAUUGGAAACUGGUAGGCUUGAGUGCAGGAGAGGAGAGUGGAAUUCCAUGUGUAGCGGUGAAAUGCGUAGAUAUAUGGAGGAACACCGGUGGCGAAAGCGGCUCUCUGGCCUGUAACUGACACUGAGGCUCGAAAGCGUGGGGAGCAAACAGG
rnacentral:rRNA from 1 species